GCCCCUAUGGUGUAGUGGUAACACGCUCCGACGCUGAUGGAGAGACCUCGGUUCGAUUCCGGGAAGGGGCA
rnacentral:tRNA from 1 species